AGCAGCGUGGCUCGGUGGAAAGAGCCUGGGCUUGGGAUUCGGAGGUCCAUGGGUUCGAUUCCCAGCUCUGCCA
rnacentral:tRNA from 1 species